UCCCAAGUGGUCUAGUGGUUAGGAUUCCACGCUCUCACCGUGGCGGCCGGGGUUCGAUUCCCCGCUUGGGAA
rnacentral:tRNA from 1 species